AGCGUAAAGNNGUUUUGNUNCCCCNCUGCUUUUAUGGUGAACGCUGGCGGCUCUGUUUUGACACAUGCNAAGUCGAACGGCAUUUUGGGGAGAAGCUUGCUUUUCCUGCCGGCGAGUGGCGAACGGGUGAGUAAUACAUCGGAACGUGCCCUGUAGUGGGGGAUAACUAGUCGAAAGAUUAGCUAAUACCGCAUACGACCUGAGGGUGAAAGUGGGGGACCGCAAGGCCUCAUGCUAUAGGAGCGGCCGAUGUCUGAUUAGCUAGUUGGUGGGGUAAAGGCCUACCAAGGCGACGAUCAGUAGCUGGUCUGAGAGGACGAUCAGCCACACUGGGACUGAGACACGGCCCAGACUCCUACGGGAGGCAGCAGUGGGGAAUUUUGGACAAUGGGCGAAAGCCUGAUCCAGCAAUGCCGCGUGUGUGAAGAAGGCCUUCGGGUUGUAAAGCACUUUUGUCCGGAAAGAAAUGGCUCUGGUUAAUACCUGGGGUCGAUGACGGUACCGGAAGAAUAAGGACCGGCUAACUACGUGCCAGCAGCCGCGGUAAUACGUAGGGUCCAAGCGUUAAUCGGAAUUACUGGGCGUAAAGCGUGCGCAGGCGGUUGUGCAAGACCGAUGUGAAAUCCCCGAGCUUAACUUGGGAAUUGCAUUGGUGACUGCACGGCUAGAGUGUGUCAGAGGGGGGUAGAAUUCCACGUGUAGCAGUGAAAUGCGUAGAGAUGUGGAGGAAUACCGAUGGCGAAGGCAGCCCCCUGGGAUAACACUGACGCUCAUGCACGAAAGCGUGGGGAGCAAACAGGAUUAGAUACCUUGGUAGUCCACCCCCGCCCUAAACGAUGUCAAACUAGUUGUUGGGGAUUCAUUUGUUUUCCCCCGGGUCGAAAAAACGUAGCAAAAUAANCGCGGCUGAGAGUUGACCGCCCUGGGGAGUACGGGUCGCAAGAUUAAACCAUAAA
rnacentral:rRNA from 1 species